rnacentral:rRNA from 1 species
AUUGAACGCUGGCGGCAGGCUUAACACAUGCAAGUCGAGCGGAGAUGAGGUGCUUGCACCUUAUCUUAGCGGCGGACGGGUGAGUAAUGCUUAGGAAUCUGCCUAUUAGUGGGGGACAACAUUCCGAAAGGAAUGCUAAUACCGCAUACGCCCUACGGGGGAAAGCAGGGGAUCUUCGGACCUUGCGCUAAUAGAUGAGCCUAAGUCGGACGGGCUAGUUGGUGGGGUAAAGGCCUACCAAGGCGACGAUCUGUAGCGGGUCUGAGAGGAUGAUCCGCCACACUGGGACUGAGACACGGCCAAGGAUCCGAUGGGAGGCAGCAGUGGGGAAUAUUGGACAAUGGGCGGAAGCCUGAUCCAGCCAUGCCGCGUGUGUGAAGAAGGCCUUUUGGUUGUAAAGCACUUUAAGCGAGGAGGAGGCUACCUGGAUUAAUACUCUAGGAUAGUGGACGUUACUCGCAGAAUAAGCACCGGCUAACUCUGUGCCAGCCGCCGCAGUAAAAC